rnacentral:rRNA from 1 species
GACGAACGCUGGCGGCGUGCUUAACACAUGCAAGUCGAACGGAAAGGCUCUGCUUUUGUGGGGUGCUCGAGUGGCGAACGGGUGAGUAACACGUGAGUAACCUGCCCUUGACUUUGGGAUAACUUCAGGAAACUGGGGCUAAUACCGGAUAGGAGCUCCUGCUGCAUGGUGGGGGUUGGAAAGUUUCGGCGGUUGGGGAUGGACUCGCGGCUUAUCAGCUUGUUGGUGGGGUAGUGGCUUACCAAGGCUUUGACGGGUAGCCGGCCUGAGAGGGUGACCGGCCACAUUGGGACUGAGAUACGGCCCAGACUCCUACGGGAGGCAGCAGUGGGGAAUAUUGCACAGUGGGCGGAAGCCUGAUGCAGCAACGCCGCGUGCGGGAUGACGGCCUUCGGGUUGUAAACCGCUUUCGCCUGUGACGAAGCGUGAGUGACGGUAAUGGGUAAAGAAGCACCGGCUAACUACGUG